AGGAGAUGGAAAUAAGAAGAGGAUGUAGUGAGAGAAGUAGAUAAGGAAGUAAGGUGUGGCACUGAUGGGUACAGAGCUGGGAUUUAAGACCAGCACAGGUUUUCUAGGAAGAGUAAAAUCUGGAGCCGAAGGUUCCCUGAGGAUUUUAAUAUGGUUUUAGGAAGAAUAAAUAUCAGAAUUCAGCUGUUUGACUUGAAGAUGAAAGCAAGGCUUUAUUUGUAUUCACCUGUCAUAUGUGUCAGAAGUGAAUGAAGUGUGUGCAAACUGUUUAUCUCUAAGGCUAGAAGGAAUCCCCAUGAUUAUCUGGUUUUCAUCAUGUAUGUCCUCAAAGCUCCAUGAAGAGUUUCUUCAUCUAGACAGAAGUUCAUACUGAAGCCAGAGGAUCAUUUUUAGUAAUGCACUGUAUUCUAAAAUUUGCCGGAGACUUCAUGACACCUGAGGACAUCCCGAAGUGACUGAUUCUAGUAAUUAAUUACUCCCAGAGGUAGAAAAUGCGCACUUUAUUUGUAGUGAAUUCAUCUGCUCUCAACUUCAGUUGAUGGAUCUCGUACUUUCCUGCUUGACUGGGAUCUGAAGUGUAUGCUGCAUUCAGUACGUAGGAAGCUGAGUAGGUCAUUGCCACACUUUUCAGCAUACUGCUUCUUGAAAUAUGAACAUCUUAGGCAUCCUCCUCUGCCUCAGACUGAUAAAUCAAAAACAAAUACAAUGUUGUGAAAUAAAAGUGUUUGUGCCAGUGAAAUGCUCCCAGGGAAUGGAGACUAGAGGCAUAAUUAUCUUUCAGGUAAAGUGAAUGUGUGUGCAUGAAAUUUUUUUGCCAUAGUGAUUUUACGUCAGGAGAGCAACAGAGAAAUAUGAACAAAAGAAGAGAUUGUUUUUCAGCUUUGCCUGUGGAAGAAUCCAAAUUUUUUGUCAAAAUCAGCACUUCAUUACAAGCUAUUGAAGCGAGUUUAAAGCUUCCAUUGAGAGCCAUUGGCUGAGAGCAUGAGUCACUGUCUGUGUACAGAUUCAUGCAGUGAUUGAUGCGCCCAGCGAAGGGUUGUUAGCAGAGAGCCUUCAAAAAGAUGGACGUAUAGUUUACAUGUUGGGCACAAUUAAUCCCGAGUAUAAUUCUAGCUGAAAUCCUUUACCAGGCCUGAGUUGGUGGCAAAUUCGCAUUUUAAUUGUGCUGCUGUGAUGUGUCUCUCUUUGAGGCUGUUGCAAUCAAAUGGUACUUUAAGGACAGAUUCAUCAGCCUAGCAGUGCCCUCAUUGUGCUCCUGUCGUUGGCUGCUCUCUCCUGAGGCAGCACAGAGACAUCCAAACGUUAAGCGAGUCUCUUGAAAGCACUUUGAAACACUUCCGCAAAGCCCUUGCAAUGCGUGCAGCACUGAUUCUGCUGGCAGGGCCAGCGGUGCUUUCUGGCAGCCUGAAGCACAACUGCGGUUCUGCAGCUCUGUGAGGCUCCAGCCCUUGUUGCUACCUGCUGAAGUGACCCUUCCCUUGCUCAGCUGCAGCACCGUGCUUGGAGUGGGUGUCCCUGGGUGCUCACUGAUCUGUGGGAACACUGUGUGGAAUGUAGUGAUACUUCACCUCUCUCAUCUUGCUUCCAGCUACAUCCAUUGCGUUCCGCAUUUCCUUCAGCUGCCCCUCUUCUCAUCAGGGAUACAUGCUGAUAAUUUACCCUCAGGGACUCAUCUGGACCAAGAAUGUUUAGAAAUAUCUGUCAUCCUUUUAAGAAUGUUUCUGAUUCUGGAACUUGCUCUCAUCUAGGCUUGUAGGGAUCAACUGUCCCAAAUAGGGAACUAUCCAGACUACUUUCCAGUGUUAAGCAGUUCCUGGUUAUAAGUAACAAACUGCAGCUACUGUAGAAGCAGGAAAGCAUAUAAGAAAAAUGGGUAAAAUGAGAGCAGAAUAAAUAGGCCAUGCAGCCUUGAGUACUAGAUGAGGAAUAAAUGAAUUACUGCAUUGUUGCCAAACCCUCCUUACUGCUUGGGCUAGCAGAGGUCAGAGCUGCAAGCUACAGUAGAUGGCAAAAGACAGUUUCCAUUCAUUAAGCAAUGAAUCUACAUUAUCUCAGCCUGAACUGUCCCUUACUGUAGGACUGAUUUUCCUCUGAGAGCUAAGGACCAGAUUAAGGCGAGCUUUUAUUCAUUUGCAUUCCAUUUCUGGAUUGCAUGGAGCAUGCCAGAAUAGGAAAGUGGAUUUGUGAGGACACUCUAGUGCAAGGUAGGGAACGAUCAGGGCUACAACACAGGGCAAAGUGAGUCUGGGAGGGAGCUGCUUACCACUGAGUGCUUCCUAUGGUACCCAUGUUUUGCCUUGGUGGGUGCAGAGCACCGACCACACAGAGCUUCUGAGGCCUGCGUCCCCUUCUG
ensembl:lncRNA